rnacentral:rRNA from 1 species
UUCCAGACUCCUACGGGAGGCAGCAGUGGGGGAUAUUGCACAAUGGGGGAAACCCUGAUGCAGCGACGCCGCGUGGGUGAAGAAGCGCCUCGGCGCGUAAAGCCCUGUCAGCAGGGAAGAAAAUGACGGUACCUGAAGAAGAAGCCCCGGCUAACUACGUGCCAGCAGCCGCGGUAAUACGUAGGGGGCAAGCGUUAUCCGGAUUUACUGGGUGUAAAGGGGGCGCAGACGGCGAUGCAAGCCAGGAGUGAAAGCCCGGGGUCCAACCCCGGGACUGCUCUGGAAACUGCGUCGCUGGAGUACGGGAGGGGCAGGCGGAAUUCCUGGUGUAGCGGUGAAAUGCGUAGAUAUUAGGAGGAACACCAGUGGCGAAGGCGGCCUGCUGGGCUUUAACUGACGCUGAGGCUCGAAAGCGUGGGGAGCAAACAGGAUUAGAUACCCUUGUA